AUUAACUCAAAAACAUAAAGCCAUUAACUCAAAAACAUAAAGCUGUGAACUAUAUAAAAGCCAUUAACUCCACCAACCAAACACGAGAUCGAAACAAAAACAUAAGAGAUCUUCCACCAACCAAACACAAAAACAUAAAGCCAUUAACAGUUAGUUCGUAUCUAUCCACCGAGUAUUGUCCAUUAUACCAUUUAUGAUUUUCAUCCAACAAAACAAUUACACCAUCGUGCUUCGGUAGAUGUUCGUCACAAAACAGCUUAGGUAGACACUACAAUUUACAAAAACAGGAUUUUUAUAUCAACUCGAGAAAUUUUUUAAAUUCUGUUUUUUUUUCGCUAGUGCACAAAUUCGACAACUCACCAAUCGAAUUUUUCGGAUACGUGCGACACGUGCAUAAGCUUCACAAAACUUGGGAAGCGUCGCGGCAAUUUCGAUUGAACCGCGCGCUCGAUCCAUAGCAGAGUCUCCCUGCUCAGCAAGCAUUAAUACGAAAUUAGUUGCAAUAAGUACCUACUCGUAUUGAUUACGAAACUGCCGGAUCACAAACUCCUAUUUACGGCAUCUAAAGUAUAUAACCAAUCAACUCAAGAAACCGAAACCGAAACCGAAACUCAAACGGAAACCAUCUUAAAAUCCAAACACAAUGGGCACAAAAUUUAAGUCUAAGCUGUGAACUAUAUAAAAGCCAUUAACUCCACCAACCAAACACGAGAUCGAAACAAAAACAUAAGAGAUCUUCCACCAACCAAACACAAAAACAUAAAGCCAUUAACUCAAAAACAUAAAGCCAUUAACUCAAAAACAUAAAGCUGUGAACUAUAUAAAAGCCAUUAACUCCACCAACCAAACACGAGAUCGAAACAAAAACAUAAGAGAUCUUCCACCAACCAAACACAAAAACAUAAAGCCAUUAACAGUUAGUUCGUAUCAAUCCACCGAGUAUUGUCCAUUAUACCAUUUAUGAUUUUCAUCCAACAAAACAAUUACACCGUCGUGCUUCGGUAGAUGUUCGUCACAAAACAGCUUAGGUAGACACUACAAUUUACAAAAACAUGAUUUUUAUAUCAACUCGAGAAAUUUUUUAAAUUCUGUUUUUUUUUCGCUAGUGCACAAAUUCGACAACUCACCAAUCGAAUUUUUCGGAUACGUGCGACACGUGCAUAAGCUUCACAAAACUUGGGAAGCGUCGCGGCAAUUUCGAUUGAACCGCGCGCUCGAUCCAUAGCAGAGUCUCCCUGCUCAGCAAGCAUUAAUACGAAAUU
rnacentral:lncRNA from 1 species